rnacentral:rRNA from 1 species
CCUACGGGAGGCUGCAGUGGGGGAUAUUGCACAAUGGGGGAAACCCUGAUGCAGCGACGCCGCGUGUGGGAAGACGGUCUUCUGGAUUGUAAACCACUGUCCCCAGGGACGAAAAUGACGGUACCUGGGGAGGACGCUCCGGCUAACUACGUGCCAGCAGCCGCGGUAAUACGUAGGGAGCAAGCGUUGUCCGGAAUUACUGGGUGUAAAGGGAGCGUAGGCGGGGAUGCAAGUUGGGUGUCAAAACUACCGGCUCAACCGAUAGUCGCACUCAAAACUGCAGCUCUUGAGUGAAGUAGAGGCAGGCGGAAUUCCUAGUGUAGCGGUGAAAUGCGUAGAUAUUAGGAGGAACACCAGUGGCGAAGGCGGCCUGCUGGGCUGUGACUGACGCUGAGGCUCGAAAGUGUGGGGAGCAAACAGGAUUAGAUACCCGAGUAGUC